GCUGUCGUGUAAAAUACCCAUUUCAGAUUUGUAUUGUAUUCUUUCUUUCAGGCCGAUCAUGUGGAAGUCCAGGAGAGAUACUUAAUGGACACUUUAAUACUGAUGAGGGUGUUCUUUUUGGAGACAAGGCUUAUGCAGUUUGUGAUGAAGGAUUCCAGUUGGCAGGCAGUGGUGUCAGAUACUGUCGCGCUACUGGCUGGGACGGUGCCAUUCCUAUAUGUGAAAGUAUAAAGUGUCCAGACCCUCCUUCGGUUGUAAAUGGUGAAAUCACAAACCCACCUCAGGAAACUGUCACGUUUGGCACAUCCAUUACCUACACAUGUAGUAAAGGGGUUCUGGUGGGUAAUAGUGAGCUUGUUUGCACCAAAUAUGGAAACUACAGUAGUGAUCCUCCAACAUGUAAAGAUCACAAAGGCUGCCCUUCUGUUCAAGUGUUAAAUGCUGUUAAGACAGCUGGAUUUGGACCAGUUUAUAAAUAUAAGGAUUCCAUUACCUUUGCUUGUAAUCCUGGGUAUAUUCUCAAUGGCACUGCCACGGUUAUCUGUGGAAUAAAUUAAACUUGGGAACCUGAACUUCCGACCUGUGAAGCAUCUCCAACCACACCCACACCAACAACAACCACCACAACCAUAGAAGUGCCUCCAGCACCCUCUCCUGGAGGAUGUGGUAAAACAUGUGGAAUCAUCCUUGGUG